rnacentral:snRNA from 1 species
GGGUGAUCUGGCUGCAACAUCUGUCACCCCAUGGAUCAUCAGGGUUGAUUUGGCGGAUCUGGCUCGCUAGGUGGGUAUCCUUCUCUUCCCUUGUGUGUUUCUCUCAAAGCUGCAUGCUCGGUGGAAGAGAAUGACCUUCCUCGAUAAAGGAGGACCAUUCUUCAGUAAUUAUGCUCCUCUGCUAGAACCAUUAACACUCUCCCAAGAAGUACACUUUAAUAUAAAGACACAAUAGGUUAAAAGUAAAAGAUGGAAAAAGACAUGCUAACAU